UCAAGCAGUUACUUUCAGAGGUGGCAUGUUGCAAUAAAGACAGAUCUGCCAUUUGGAAGCAGGGGUAAUAUGACUGCAUUUAUGAGUUCAGCUCACAAUGUUCAUGGAAGACAGGACUUCAUAGUUUGGAAAAGUUAAAAAUCAUCUUCAAGGUUGUACAUUGUUUACCCUUGAGGAUUCACUGAAAUGGCUAGUACAGCCACAUCAACAUCAAGUCACAUCUGCCUCCCAUCAGAAGCUUGUGUUAUUCUCAAGAACCCAGAAGCAAAGGUUGAAUGCUUUUAGGAGACUGAGCAGGUGCUAAGAGGUAGGAGACAGGAUCCUUGGUUCUGUAGCAGCACUAAGAUAGAAAUAUGGGACUUGCUGACUGCAGGGGACCAGCGCUCACUAAUGAAGCUGACCUGCCUCUGUCUCUUCU